rnacentral:rRNA from 1 species
CUACGAAGGGGGCUAGCGUUGUUCGGAAUUACUGGGCGUAAAGCGCGCGUAGGCGGAUUGGUCAGUUAGGGGUGAAAUCCCAGGGCUUAACCCUGGAACUGCCUCUAAUACUGCCAGUCUUGAGUUCGGGAGAGGUGAGUGGAAUUCCUAGUGUAGAGGUGAAAUUCGUAGAUAUUAGGAAGAACACUAGUGGCGAAGGCGGCUCACUGGCCCGAUACUGACGCUGAGGCGCGAAAGCGUGGGGAGCAAACAGGAUUAGAAACCCGAGUAGUCC